UCAGGACGAACGCUGGCGGCGUGCUUAACACAUGCAAGUCGAACGGUGAAGCCUUUCGGGGUGGAUCAGUGGCGAACGGGUGAGUAACACGUGGGCAAUCUGCCCUGCACUCUGGGACAAGCCCUGGAAACGGGGUCUAAUACCGGAUAUUACCUGAGGGGGCAUCUUCUCGGGUGGAAAGCUCCGGCGGUGCAGGAUGAGCCCGCGGCCUAUCAGCUUGUUGGUGGGGUGAUGGCCUACCAAGGCGACGACGGGUAGCCGGCCUGAGAGGGCGACCGGCCACACUGGGACUGAGACACGGCCCAGACUCCUACGGGAGGCAGCAGUGGGGAAUAUUGCACAAUGGGCGAAAGCCUGAUGCAGCGACGCCGCGUGAGGGAUGACGGCCUUCGGGUUGUAAACCUCUUCAG
rnacentral:rRNA from 1 species